rnacentral:rRNA from 1 species
CAGUAGCCGCGGUAAUACGUAGGUGGCAAGCGUUAUCCGGAAUUAUUGGGCGUAAAGCGCGCGUAGGCGGUUUUUUAAGUCUGAUGUGAAAGCCCACGGCUCAACCGUGGAGGGUCAUUGGAAACUGGAAAACUUGAGUGCAGAAGAGGAAAGUGGAAUUCCAUGUGUAGCGGUGAAAUGCGCAGAGAUAUGGAGGAACACCAGUGGCGAAGGCGACUUUCUGGUCUGUGACUGACGCCGAUGUGCGAAAGCGUGGGGAUCAAACAGGAUUAGAUACCCCAGUAGUCCCUGUCUCUUAUAA